rnacentral:rRNA from 1 species
AUUGAACGCUGGCGGAAUGCUUUACACAUGCAAGUCGGGCGGCAGCGCGGGGGCAACCCUGGCGGCGAGCGGCGAACGGGUGAGUAACACAUCGGAACGUACCCUGUCGUGGGGGAUAACGAAUCGAAAGAUUCGCUAAUACCGCAUACGACCUGAGGGUGAAAGCGGGGGAUCGCAAGACCUCGCGCGAGAGGAGCGGCCGAUGGCGGAUUAGCUAGUUGGUGGGGUAAAGGCCCACCAAGGCGACGAUCCGUAGCGGGUCUGAGAGGACGGCCCGCCACACUGGGACUGAGACACGGCCCAGACUCCUACGGGAGGCAGCAGUGGGGAAUUUUGGACAAUGGGGGCAACCCUGAUCCAGCCAUUCCGCGUGAGUGAAGAAGGCC